rnacentral:rRNA from 1 species
UACGUAGGGUGCAAGCGUUAAUCGGAAUUACUGGGCAUAAAGCGUGCGCAGGCGGUUUUGUAAGUCUGUCGUGAAAGCCCCGGGCUUAACCUGGGAACUGCAUUUGUGACUGCACGGCUGGAGUGCGGCAGAGGGGGAUGGAAUUCCGCGUGUAGCAGUGAAAUGCGUAGAUAUGCGGAGGAACACCGAUGGCGAAGGCAAUCCCCUGGGCCUGCACUGACGCUCAUGCACGAAAGCGUGGGGAGCAAACAGG